rnacentral:rRNA from 1 species
AACGAACGCUGGCGGCAGGCUUAACACAUGCAAGUCGAACGCCCCGCAAGGGGAGUGGCAGACGGGUGAGUAACGCGUGGGAAUCUACCCAGUUCUACGGAACAACUGAGGGAAACUUCAGCUAAUACCGUAUACGCCCUACGGGGGACAGAUUUAUCGGAAUUUGAUGAGCCCGCGUUGGAUUAGCUAGUUGGUGAGGUAACGGAUCACAAAGGCGACGAUCCAUAGCUGGUCUGGGAGGAUGAUCAGCGACACUGGGGCUGAGACACGGCCCAGACUCCUACGGGAGGCAGCAGUGGGGAAUAUUGGACAAUGGGCGCAAGCCUAAUCCAGCCAUGCCGCGUGAGUGAUGAAGGCCUUAGGGUUGUAAAGCUCUUUCAGUGGGGACGAUAAUGACGGUACCCACAGAAGAAGCCCCGGCUAACUUCGUGCCAGCAGCCGCAGUAACAC